CUGGGCGCGCUGGGUCGCUCGCUCUGGCGCCAGCCUCUCCCCGUGCUCCACUCCUUUCUCUCGACGAGGCUGGGCCGGCCUGCAUCACCGUGACCUCACCUCCAUUCAGGGCGCUUAUCCGGCGCCCGCCCGAGCUCCAGGCAAGGAGUCUCUGCACUGGCUUGACGCCCAUGCCCCCGGACUGCUUAGAGGUGUGCACUGGCAUUGGGAACCAGUGAGGCCAGGCUGGAAAGAAUCGGUGAAAUCGGCUAGAAGCAAAGGAAGAAGAAACAGGCAAAACACCACAGGGUGAUACCCCUGUGAAGGGCUCUGACCAGGUGGAUGGACCAGGCUGGCCACUGUUUGGAGAACAGUGGACUUUGGAGGAUGAGCAGAAGGGGACCAAGGGCUACACCUGGCCAGCAGAGUCAUCAGGCAGCUACAAGCACACCUGGAGGUUCUUUGCAUCCAAUUUUCAUAGGCGAUAUUGCUCAUUCAAAGGCCUGCAAGCAGCACCCUGGCUCCUUCCCUGUCCUUGGACCUGCUCUGGCAUGAAAUGUGAUCCAAAAAGGCCCUCAGAGAAAGCCCAGCCCGCUGUCGACCUGCUUUUGUGCACCUUCCAAACAGCUCUCCUGCAGGGCAUCAGGAGCUGUUUUCCCCGUGCCAGGACCGAACUACAUUCUGACCCCACUGACCCCACUGGCUGCCCUCCCUGCCCUCAACACAGGGUACACAGCCAGCUGUGGACAAGGCACCGAUACUAAUGGCCUGUGCUAGGUAGGAAUUCUAGAAAUUCUAUUCUUUCUUUCUUCAUUUCUUUUCUUUUUUUUAUGGAGUCUCACUGAGUUGCCCAGGCUGGCCUCAAACUUACAGUCGUUCCUGCCUCACCCACCCGAAUAGUGGGAUUAUAGGGAUGCACCGUUAUGCUCAGCUUUGGCAGUGGUACAGAUUCUAAAUUCACAGGACUUCUGCCUACCUCAGCUUUCUGCUCUUGGGAUUCAGUUAGAAUAGGAGCACUGUUCAGGGAGUCGAGAUCUAGGUUCAGGACUCAGCCUGCCCUGGAGUCACUGGGGUGUGUAGCUCUUUUCACCCUCUUGAACCACUUUCUGACCCAUCUAACAACAAUAAACAGAACUGUUAGAAGUUAUACACUAACUUCUUGAUCCCUCCCAACAUUCUUUUUUUGUUUGUUUGUUUUGGUACUGGGAAUCUAACUCCCGACCUUGUG